rnacentral:rRNA from 1 species
AGCAGCCGCGGUAAUUCCAGCUCCAAUAGCGUAUAUUAAAGUUGUUGCAGUUAAAAAGCUCGUAGUUGAAUUUCGAGAUCAGUACGCUGGUCGUGCCUUCGGUAUGCACUGGUGUCACUGGUUUCUCCCUUCUGAAGAACCGUCAUGUCAUUAAGUUGGUGUGGCGGGGAAUCAGGACUGUUACUUUGAAAAAAUUAGAGUGUUUAAAGCAGGCUCGCGCUUGAAUACAUUAGCAUGGAAUAAUGAAAUAGGACGUUUGACCCUAUUUUGUUGGUUUCUAGGAUCGACGUAAUGAUUAAUAGGGAUAGUUGGGGGCAUUAGUAUUCAAUUGUCAGAGGUGAAAUUCUUGGAUUUAUUGAAGACUAACUACUGCGAAAGCAUUUGCCAAGGAUGUUUUCAUUAAUCAAGAACGAAAGUUAGGGGAUCGAAGACGAUCAGAUACCGUCGUAGUCUUAACCAUAAACUAUGCCGACUAGGGAUCGGAUGAUGUUAAUU